rnacentral:rRNA from 1 species
CCUACGGGUGGCAGCAGUCGAGAAUCAUUCACAAUGGGGGAAACCCUGAUGGUGCGACGCCGCGUGGGGGAAUGAAGGUCUUCGGAUUGUAAACCCCUGUCAUGUGGGAGCAAAUUAAAAAGAUAGUACCCCAAGAGGAAGAGACGGCUAACUCUGUGCCAGCAGCCGCGGUAAUACAGAGGUCUCAAGCGUUGUUCGGAAUAACUGGGCGUAAAGCGUGCGUAGGCUGUUUCGUAAGUCGUGUGUGAAAGGCGCGGGCUCAACCCGCGGACGGCACAUGAUACUGCGGGACUAGAGUAAUGGAGGGGGAACCGGAAUUCUCGGUGUAGCAGUGAAAUGCGUAGAUAUCGAGAGGAACACUCGUGGCGAAGGCGGGUUCCUGGACAUUAACUGACGCUGAGGCACGAAGGCCAGGGGAGCGAAAGGGAUUAGAUACCCGGGUAGUC